GACUGCGCCGCGGUCUCUCAGCCGCCAACACACCGCGGACGCCCGGGGACAGCGACCGCUUCCUCCCUCCCCGCCCGCCUUGUCUCUUUUUGGUCUUGCUCUGUCGCCCAGGCUGGAGUCAGUGGCACCAUCGUGGCUCACUGCGGCCUCCACCUCCGGGACUCCAGGGAUCCUCCCGCCUCAGCCUCCCGAGGAGCUGGGACCACCGCACCUGGCUAAUUUUAAAAUUUUUCCUUAGAGACAGGAUCUCACUUUGCUGCCCAGGCUGGUCUCAAACUCCUGGGCUCAAGCGACCCUCCCGCCUCGGCCUCCCAAAGUGCCACCGUGCCAAGCCUCAGUUAGGUUUUUAAUUUUAAUUUGGCAUUGUUUGAUGCUCAGACUGCUGCCGUGUCAUUUUCACACGACAGCAAGUUGGGGACAGCGAGUUGUUCUGUCCUGCGCGUGUGUCCCCUCAUGGUCUUGAGUGACCUGACCCUCUGUGGGGAGCCCUGAGCCUCCUCCCUGCUCCCGCGGCCCCAGCUCUCAGCUGAUGGAGGCUCCGGGGCGGGCUCAAGCCCCCGGCC
rnacentral:lncRNA from 1 species